UUGUCUGGCCUCUCAACAGGUACCACUCCGUUGUGGUUGUACCUACGGUACAGUUAUCUGUAUCGCUGAGGCACGCAAGCCUCCCCACCGAUGCAAGGUCCAUGGUUCAUGGGAGAAGGGUAAUGAAGUCAUGUAAAAUAAUCUGGAAGUAAUUACUAAAAAUACCAGUUUCAUAAGAUUAUGAUUAGUGAGAAGUUGUAAGUACACUUUACAGAAUUAGACAGCAGUAGCGUCUUCUGCCUCUUAAUGUGCAACUUGACUCGUUCCAUAUCCUGGAAGACUCUCCUUCAUGGCGAAAUUUAUGGAACACAAUGUGAGCAUGAAUGAGUGAGAGAGAAUGUGAGUGAGUGAGUGACUAUCCUUUCUGCUGACUUUUGGUCUUGUCUCUGCUUUUACUAAAUUUUCUGGCAUGUUCUCUACUUACAGGUAUCCACAGGGGAGAAAGAGGCAGUCACACUGUCCAGCAUAAUAGACAGCAAAGAAGAACCAAUAUUAACCUACCAGCAACCAGAAACUGAACAGAUCUGCAUUAAAGAAGAAAAUGUUGUGUGACAAAAAGAUCCUGUGACAGGCUGAAAACCUGUUACGAAAAUAUGAAAAGAAGACUUCAGAAAGAUCUUGCAGAAGAAGAGGUGGAAGUGUAUAAAACAGGUUGGGGGGAAGCCUACCCAAAAAACCAACAAAUGCAUAUGAUUCUGAUGCACAGUUUAGUAUGACUGUGGAUGUUGUUAACAUAGAGUGCAGUGCUGUGCAGUGAGAACACACCAUCUGCUUCAGUUGUCGAGUUAGCAGAGUGCACACAACCUAGCACUUCCCACACACCUGACGUAAUACACAGUAAAGAGACAUCAAAGAAUGUUCUGGUGGCUGUCACCCAGCUGCAGACUGUUUCACAGUCUCCUGAUCCACCCAAAGAAAACAUUUUCACAUCGAAAAAUACAUGGCAUCAUCGCAGGAUGCCUGCAAAACCGGGGCCAUCAGGUUCGGGAACAGUAAUUGAAAAUGUGUGCAAGAAGAGAGUGGAACUACUGGAGGCCCAAUUACACAUAAUGAAGGCUGAACAUAAGAAGGAGCUGAGGAUUAAAAAUUUAAAGAUUCUGGCCCUAAAAGAAAAACUAAAAUAUUGGAAGAAGAAAAAUGCCAGUAACAUGAUUUUUUUCCUAUGAUAGUGAAUUUUUGUAAUUUUUUCUGCUGUUUUGUAUUCUAGCUAAUGUAUCAAAGUUAUCUCACAGGUGAAACUGUUUCUGUGUUUGUCCCAUUAGUGAUGACUGCUACUAUCCUAAUUAUUGUCUGUCUAAUAUCUGCUUAUAGCUUACUUGGUCUGGACUAAUUUUCAUCUAAUCACUUGAAAUUAGAAUUACUUCAUAAAUAAAAACAGGUUAGCGAUACUGCUGUGUGUGCCAUUUUUCUAGCAAUACUCUGCAC